AGAGAUGACGUCGGUGGCGAACGAAAGCUCUCGCCUUUGAGGUGGAAGUCCUACGGGCGCCGCCUUCUUCGAUUACAGAUGGGUUAGUACGACCAGAAAUUUCCGAGGCAAUGCGUUCAUCCUAUUGAGAGGUAAGGGUUUGGCGUUCUGAUUUCUGAUCCUGGUCCAUUGAGUGCCUUCUCUUGUGACUCUAAAGUAGUUGAAAAGGAAAUGAUGGUAGAAAAGGAUGUCUUGUGUCUCCAUGAGGCCACCUUCUACUGUACGAACGCUUAUGGACGGUCAAGUGCUGAUUGGACUUGUGCAUAUCAGCACGUAACAAAAGCAUAAGCUAAAGAGACUAUCUGCCACUCGCAAUCCUUCCUUAAAGCAAUCAUCUUUGAGGAAAGUACUGUUAGUGGUAUUCAAUUCUGGGACGUUAAUAAUCUCAGGGUUCUCUUUUUGUGUCUUUGACUAUAUUAUAUGUUAUACUGUAACUCUUUUUGAUGUUUGGGUUAAUCCUGAUUUAUAUCUUGCAUUGUGCUAUUUGUAACUGUAUUAUGCUACCAUCACCUGCUUCCACAAACAACUCCAUUUAGUGGUACUUUCUUUGGACCAACUUGGAGACUAAUUAUAUUGUGAUGUGAACUCUUUAAAACUCUUGAUGCUGUUAUGCUUUAUGAGUUUGUGAUGCUGUGAAAGAUGAAAAGUUUCCAGUAGACUUUACCUGACAAAACCAGAAACUUGCAAGACAAUGUAGUUGACCUAUGAGCGUUAAUUGAGUUUGGCUGUUUGAUUGUCUGAUGUGUUGUCUAGUCUUGAACUCAAAGAAUAAGUUAAUUAGUAAUUGAUGGUACAGAAGGAUUUUCUUGUAUGUCCACGAGGCAUCUUCCAACCAUUCAAAUGCUUAUGGACGGUCAAGUGCUGAUUUGACUUGGGCACAUCAGCACCUAACAAUAUCAUAAGCUAAAGAAACCAUCUGCCACUGGCAAUCGUUCCUUGUUAGCAAUCACUCGAGGAAAAUAUGCUUGGUGGCAUUCAUUUUUAUACAUACUCAUGGUUGGAGUUAGACUGGUUUGUAAUUUGGAGAUUGUUAUAUUUAUAAAUAUAUGUAAAUUUUGUAAGUAACUGCCUCCAUAAAUAUUCGUGUGAGUUGUCUUGUGCUGAUAUUGGGCUUCACAUACCAAUGAAAGUUCGGGUGCUGAAGUUGAAGUUUCAUUUGACUGACACUGCAUAUAGACUUUUGUAAUCAAGGAGAGGAGAUAGCAACAUUAAGAUAAUUAAGCGUGUUAGGUGCCUGGGUAUGGAUAUUUUGGUAAUAAGAAUCAGAGGAUUGAGCAAGAGAGUCAAAUUUGAAUUCAACAAGGCGUUCUGUGACAGUGAAUUCUUUGUUUUCGCCUGCAAGAGAGGGUUCUUUGCUUAGUGUAAGCUUUUAGUUACCUCUUUGAGUUGUCAAAAUUCGUGGCUGAAAAACUUGCUAUCUUGUACAUUUAUGCUUCAUUAUAUAUAAAGAUGUUUUCUUUGUCUUUUUUGACAUUGCAUUAUCAGUAGCUUGUGUUUUGUCUUCUCUAUACCUUUUUAUAGGGUUGACCAUUGCUUGGUUCCCCCUGGAUGUGGAUGAAUUUUGUUAUGAUAAUGGUCUUAUUUUCUUGAUGACCCUCCUUACCAGCUAAAGGUUAGUCAUAAAAAUGGCAUAUGAAGUGUUUUUGUCUGUGUUACCAGUUGAGGGCACUUAAUGAUUUAUAAGGAUCACGGAAGAUUCCAGUAUCAUCUUGUUUGAAUAGCAAAUGAUAUCUUGUCUCUAAUACAAAAUGAUUCUUAUGCUGUAAAAUUAAUCUGUAUGCAGUUGUUUAAUUGUGAGUAGGCUAGAAUAUCAAUCUUGCAAUAUUAAAGUCAUUGUGAAUUUUGCAUAGAUCAGCAGCAGACAAGGAUUAGAGGUUUAGAUGUAUUAUCAUGGCAACACUGGUAAAGCUUUACAUAAAUGAAGCUUUAUUAUUAUUAUUUUUGUCUAAAUUAUUCCGACAACUGAAGUCUACGGCAGGAAGAUGUUGUGUGGGAGUCGGUCGCAAGCUGAGUGAGGAUCCAGAGGUGGGCUGAUAAAUCAUAUAAGCCACCUUGGCAAUGAAUGAAAGAAUCUUUUUGCUAAUUAAUCUCAUGGCAGAGGAAUUGUUUUAGAGAAAAUAUGAGCAAAAUGAUAUCUCCUUUAUGCCUAUUUCUUCCUUGUGAGACGACAAUAUUAUGGCUUGUGUAGUGGAUUCAAACUGCAGAGGUAUUGAGGCAAAGGAGAAAACUCGUCAUCCAGAAGUGUGCUUGCGAUCAGCUGAUUGUAAAUGUAAGAAGAUUUCUGAUAUCCUGCCAAAUGAUGGUUGCUUGCAUUUCAUCAAGGAAAAUGACGAGGUGUGCAUGUGGCUGAAAAAUUUUCAGGUGUUUUUUCUUUAAUGAAUUCAUAGAGUUGAAUCUCUGUGGAUCAUGGCAGCAGGAGAUUCUCAAGGUGUUAAGCUCUGAUCGAGUAGGAGAAGCAUCUAUAUCAUAUGUUUCUCUGCCACUUCUUAAAGACCAGCAUUAAAGAGCAGCAGUAAGCUACAUAAGCAGACCUCACAUUUAUGAAGUCUCGUGAUGUUGAAAAGAUAAAUACCAUGCUGAUGUUAGUAAUGUUUUUUACUUGCAUUUUGCAUUUGCUGUAUGAUUUUGGAGAACAAUGUAUUCUUUGGCACCUGUUUUGUUGAUUGACUUCUUUCUCAUCCGUGAAUAUAUUGUUAUAUUAGUGUUGUAUCGUAAAACAGUUGGUUGUGUAUUCUUUUUCAAACAAAGGGAACAGUGUCUCUAUUCCUUC